rnacentral:rRNA from 1 species
CCUACGGGUGGCAGCAGUGAGGAAUAUUGGUCAAUGGGCGCAGGCCUGAACCAGCCAAGUCGCGUGAGGGAAGACUGCCCUAUGGGUUGUAAACCUCUUUUAUACGGGAAGAAUAAUGACUACGUGUAUUCAGAUGCACGUACCGUAUGAAUAAGCAUCGGCUAACUCCGUGCCAGCAGCCGCGGUAAUACGGAGGAUACGAGCUUUAUCCGGAUUUAUUGGGUUAAAAGGGUGCGUAGGCGGUAUUUUAAGUUAGUGGGAAAACGACGGGGCUUAACCCGGAGUGGCCAUUAAUAAUGGAGUACUAGAGUACAGACGAGGUAGGCGGAAUGAGUGGUGUAGAGGUGAAAUGCUUAGAUAUAACAUAGAACCCCGAUAGCGAAGGCAGCUUACCAGACUGUUACUGACGCUGAAGCACGAGAGCGUGGGUAGCGAACAGGAUUAGAUACCCCUGUAGUC